GAUAAUCUCUCUGAAGGAGAUGACUUCAACGGCUUGUGGUCCACAACCUCUUCCUUCGUCUUCCUCUUCAUCUUCUCUCUCACCUAUAACAUGAUUUUCAUUCUUGUUCAGAUGAAGAAAUAAUAAAGGUUCAGAUGUGCAAAACAGAAAUGAAUGACCGCAGAAUAUCUGCAAGAGUUUUUCAGUAUUUCAUGUACUUUUUAUAAUGUAUGAAAUGUUUGAAUGUAUUCAAGCUACUUUUUAGAAAAUUCUUAUUAUUACUGAUAUAGAGAAAUGAACCAUAAUUUUGUUUUGGAUGUAUAGUAUGUGUUUUCAUGAUCUUGAGAAUAAAUGUUUUCGGUGCUACUUCA